rnacentral:rRNA from 1 species
AUUGAACGCUGGCGGCAUGCCUUACACAUGCAAGUCGAACGGUAACAGGUUAAGCUGACGAGUGGCGAACGGGUGAGUAAUGUAUCGGAACGUGCCCAGUCGUGGGGGAUAACUGCUCGAAAGAGCAGCUAAUACCGCAUACGACCUGAGGGUGAAAGCGGGGGAUCGCAAGACCUCGCGCGAUUGGAGCGGCCGAUAUCAGAUUAGGUAGUUGGUGAGGUAAAGGCUCACCAAGCCGACGAUCUGUAGCGGGUCUGAGAGGACGACCAGCCACACUGGGACUGAGACACGGCCCAGACUCCUACGGGAGGCAGCAGUGGGGAAUUUUGGACAAUGGGCGCAAGCCUGAUCCAGCCAUGCCGCGUGCGGGAAGAAGGCCUUCGGGUUGUAAACCGCUUUUGUCAGGGAAGAAAAGGUUCUGGCUAAUACCUGGGACUCAUGACGGUGCCUGAAGAAUAAGCACCGGCUAACUACGUG